rnacentral:rRNA from 1 species
AUUGAACGCUGGCGGCAGGCCUAACACAUGCAAGUCGAACGGUAACAGGAAGAAGCUUGCUUCUUUGCUGACGAGUGGCGGACGGGUGAGUAAUGUCUGGGAAACUGCCUGAUGGAGGGGGAUAACUACUGGAAACGGUAGCUAAUACCGCAUAACGUCGCAAGACCAAAGAGGGGGACCUUCGGGCCUCUUGCCAUCGGAUGUGCCCAGAUGGGAUUAGCUAGUAGGUGGGGUAACGGCUCACCUAGGCGACGAUCCCUAGCUGGUCUGAGAGGAUGACCAGCCACACUGGAACUGAGACACGGUCCAGACUCCUACGGGAGGGAGCAGUGGGGAAUAUUGCACAAUGGGCGCAAGCCUGAUGCAGCCAUGCCGCGUGUAUGAAGAAGGCCUUCGGGUUGUAAAGUACUUUCAGCGGGGAGGAAGGGAGUAAAGUUAAUACCUUUGCUCAUUGACGUUACCCGCAGAAGAAGCACCGGCUAACUCCGUG